rnacentral:rRNA from 1 species
GUUGUUGCGGUUAAAAAGCUCGUAGUUGGAUUUUGGGCGCAGGCGGCCGGUCCGUCGCAAGGCGUGUACUGGCCGUCCUGGCCUCACCUCCGGUUCUCCGCCGGUGCCCUUGACUGAGUGUCGGCGGCGGCCGGAACGUUUACUUUGAAAAAAUUAGAGUGUUCAAAGCAGGCGAUUCGCCUGAAUAAUGGUGCAUGGAAUAAUGGAAUAGGACCUCGGUUCUAUUUUGUUGGUUUUCGGAGCGCGAGGUAAUGAUUAAGAGGGACAGACGGGGGCAUUCGUACUGUGCCGUUAGAGGUGAAAUUCUUGGAUCGGCGCAAGACGAACGACUGCGAAAGCAUUUGCCAAGAAUGUUUUCUUUAAUCAAGAGCGAAAGUCAGAGGUUCGAAGACGAUCAGAUACCGUCCUAGUUCUGACUAUAAACGAUGCCAACUAGCGAUCGGGGGGCGUUAGUUUUACGACCUCUCCGGCAGCUUGCGGGAAACCAAAGUCUUUGGGUUCCGGGGGAAGUAUGGUUGCAAAGCUGAAACUUAAAGGAAUUGACGGAAGGGCACCACCAGGAGUGGAGCCUGCGGCUUAAUUUGACUCAACACGGGAAAUCUCACCCGGCCCGGACACAGUGAGGAUUGACAGAUUGAGAGCUCUUUCUUGAUUCUGUGGGUGGUGGUGCAUGGCCGUUCUUAGUUGGUGGAGCGAUUUGUCUGGUUAAUUCCGAUAACGAACGAGACUCUGGCUUGCUAACUAGUUACGCGACCCAAUCGGUCGGCGUCUAACUUCUUAGAGGGACUAGUGGCGUUUAGCCACACGAGAUUGAGCAAUAACAGGUCUGUGAUGCCCUUAGAUGUUCGGGGCCGCACGCGCGCUACACUGACCGGAUCAGCAUGUGCUCGCCUUGGCCGACAGGUCUGGGUAACCCGCUGAACCCCGGUCGUGCUAGGGAUAGGGAAUUGCAAUUAUUUCCCUUGAACGAGGAAUUCCCAGUA